AGCCAGACUCCUACGGGAGGCAGCAGUGGGGGAUAUUGCACAAUGGGGGCAACCCUGAUGCAGCGACGCCGCGUGAGCGAUGGAGUACUUCGGUAUGUAAAGCUCUGUCAGCGGGGAAGAGAAUGACGGUACCUGACCAAGAAGCCCCGGCUAAAUACGUGCCAGCAGCCGCGGUAAUACGUAGGGGGCAAGCGUUAUCCGGAUUUACUGGGUGUAAAGGGAGCGUAGACGGCCAGACAAGUCAGAAGUGAAAGCCCAGGGCUCAACUCUGGGACUGCUUUUGAAACUGCCGGGCUGGAGUGCAGGAGAGGUAAGCGGAAUUCCUAGUGUAGCGGUGAAAUGCGUAGAUAUUAGGAGGAACACCAGUGGCGAAGGCGGCUUACUGGACUGUAACUGACGUUGAGGCUCGAAAGCGUGGGGAGCAAACAGGAUUAGAUACCCUCGUAUA
rnacentral:rRNA from 1 species